AUUGAACGCUGGCGGCAUGCCUUACACAUGCAAGUCGAACGGCAGCACGGGAGCUUGCUCCUGGUGGCGAGUGGCGAACGGGUGAGUAAUGCAUCGGAACGUGCCCAGUAGUGGGGGAUAGCCCGGCGAAAGCCGGAUUAAUACCGCAUACGACCUACGGGUGAAAGCAGGGGAUCGCAAGACCUUGCGCUAUUGGAGCGGCCGAUGUCAGAUUAGGUAGUUGGUGGGGUAAAAGCCUACCAAGCCGACGAUCUGUAGCUGGUCUGAGAGGACGACCAGCCACACUGGGACUGAGACACGGCCCAGACUCCUACGGGAGGCAGCAGUGGGGAAUUUUGGACAAUGGGCGCAAGCCUGAUCCAGCCAUGCCGCGUGCGGGAAGAAGGCCU
rnacentral:rRNA from 1 species